rnacentral:rRNA from 1 species
GAAUCUUAGACAAUGGGCGAAAGCCUGAUGCAGCCAUGCCGCGUGAAUGAUGAAGGCCUUAGGGUUGUAAAAUUCUUUCGUCAGGGAUGAUAAUGACCGUACCUGAAGAAGCAGCCCCGGCUAACUUCGUGCCAGCAGCCGCGGUAAUACGAAGGGGGCUAGCGUUGUUCGGAAUUACUGGGCGUAAAGCGCACGUAGGCGGACUUUUAAGUCAGGUGUGAAAUCCCGGGGCUCGACCUCGGAACUGCAUUUGAAACUGGGAGUCUUGAGAUCAGGAGAGGUUAGCGGAAUACCGAGUGUAGAGGUGAAAUUCGUAGAUAUUCGGUGGAACACCAAUGGCGAAGGCGGCUAACUGGACUGAUACUGACGCUGAGGUGCGAAAGUGUGGGGAGCAAACAGG